UGUUAAAAAUUUCAUCCACAUGUACUGUUAAAAACUAGCAUAUCUGACAGAAUAACCAGAUAGUGACAUGUGGCAUGCCAUGUUUAACUCAUAUUGAUUUAAAGGGACUAAUUUUUAACAGUAGAAAUGGAUAAAAUUUUUAACA
rfam:Gossypium hirsutum cultivar TM-1 chromosome 9, whole genome shotgun sequence